rnacentral:tRNA from 1 species
GCCUCCAUAGCUCAGUGGUAGAGCAACAGUUUUGUAAACUGUGGGUCGAGGGUUCGAAUCCCUCUGGAGGCU